GACGAACGCUGGCGGCGUGCUUAACACAUGCAAGUCGAACGGUAAGGCCCUUCGGGGUACACGAGUGGCGAACGGGUGAGUAACACGUGGGUGAUCUGCCCUGCACUUCGGGAUAAGCCUGGGAAACUGGGUCUCAUACCGGAUAGGACCACUGCCUGCAUGGGUGGUGGUGGAAAGCUUUUGCGGUGUGGGAUGGGCCCGCGGCCUAGCAGCUUGUUGGUGGGGGGAUGGCCUACCAAGGCGACGACGGGUAGCCGGCCUGAGAGGGUGACCGGCCACACUGGGACUGAGAUACGGCCCAGACUCCUACGGGAGGCAGCAGUGGGGAAUAUUGCACAAUGGGCGCAAGCCUGAUGCAGCGACGCCGCGUGAGGGAUGACGGCCUUCGGGUUGUAAACCUCUUUCAGCACCGACGAAGCGCAAGUGACGGUAGGUGCAGAAGAAGGACCGGCCAACUACGUGCCAGCCGCCGCCGUAA
rnacentral:rRNA from 1 species